rnacentral:rRNA from 1 species
GAUGAUCCCCCGCUUGCGGGGGUGAUUAGUGGCGAACGGGUGAGUAAUACGUGAGUAACCUGCCCCUGACUCUGGGAUAAGCCUGGGAAACCGGGUCUAAUACUGGAUACGACUCCUCAUCGCAUGGUGGGGGGUGGAAAGGGUUCACUGGUUUUGGAUGGGCUCACGGCCUAUCAGCUUGUUGGUGGGGUAAUGGCUCACCAAGGCGACGACGGGUAGCCGGCCUGAGAGGGUGACCGGCCACACUGGGACUGAGACACGGCCCAGACUCCUACGGGAGGCAGCAGUGGGGAAUAUUGCACAAUGGGCGGAAGCCUGAUGCAGCGACGCCGCGUGAGGGAUGACGGCCUUCGGGUUGUAAACCUCUUUCAGUAGGGAAGAAGCGCAAGUGACGGUACCUGCAGAAGAAGCGCCGGCUAACUACGUGCCAGCAGCCGCGGUAAUACGUAGGGCGCAAGCGUUGUCCGGAAUUAUUGGGCGUAAAGAGCUCGUAGGCGGUCUGUCGCGUCUGCUGUGAAAGCCCGGGGCUCAACCCCGGGUCUGCAGUGGGUACGGGCAGACUAGAGUGCAGUAGGGGAGACUGGAAUUCCUGGUGUAGCGGUGAAAUGCGCAGAUAUCA